UACGUAGGGUGCAAGCGUUAAUCGGAAUUACUGGGCGUAAAGCGUGCGCAGGUGGUUUGUUAAGUCUGCUGUGAAAGCCCCGGGCUCAACCUGGGAAUGGCAGUGGAUACUGGCAAGCUAGAGUGCGGUAGAGGGGUGUGGAAUUCCCGGUGUAGCGGUGAAAUGCGUAGAGAUCGGGAGGAACACCAGUGGCGAAGGCGGCACCCUGGACCAGCACUGACACUGAGGCACGAAAGCGUGGGGAGCAAACAGG
rnacentral:rRNA from 1 species